GAUGAACGCUGGCGGCGUGCUUAACACAUGCAAGUCGAACGAGAAGUGGAGACGGAAACCUUCGGGCGGAAGACUUUAUUUCGAGUGGCGGACGGGUGAGUAACGCGUGGGUAACCUGCCUCAUACAGGGGGAUAACAGUUGGAAACGACUGUUAAUACCGCAUAAGACCACAGCACCGCAUGGUGCGGGGGUAAAAACUCCGGUGGUAUGAGAUGGACCCGCGUUCGAUUAGCCAGUUGGCGGGGUAACGGCCCACCAAAGCGACGAUCGAUAGCCGAUCUGAGAGGAUGACCGGCCACAUUUGGACUGAGACGCGGCCCAAACUCCUACGGGAGGCGGCAGUGGGGAAUAUUGCACAAUGGGGGAAACCCUGAUGCAGCGACGCCGCGUGAGUGAAGAAGUAUUUCAGUAUGUAAAGCUCUAUCAGCAGGGAAGAAAAUGACGGUACCUGAGUAAGAAGCCCCGGCUAACUACGUG
rnacentral:rRNA from 1 species